UACUAGCAUUAUUUGUAUAUUAGAAUUAGAAUAUUUUUUACACAAACAUUUUGCAACAGGGACCUUAGCACGCCUCAUUUUAAAAACAAAAUUUUAUUGCCCGGUUUCAUAGUCAGUGCUUAGGUUGUGCUUAAGAUAAAACAGAAAUAUUGCGUUUUACAGUUCAUAUUUAAGUUCUGCUUAAGUAACAGCUGAUUUUUAUAUUGACUUUAAAAUAAAAAUGAUUUGCUGAAAAAAUUUUUCUUGCAUUCAAUGACAGUUAUAUGCUUUCCUGCGAGUUGCAAUAGCUGCCUCCACUCGCUUGCGGUGAAAUUCGGUGUCCUUUUAUUGUUUCCAAACAUUUUCCAGAUUCUAAAUUUAUUCGUCGCAAAGUUAUUUUUCAUCAACAAUAAUUUCAAUUUGUCAGAUGGUAUUUGUAAACAAAUGUUUUUCAUUGUGCUGCCAUAUAUCAUAAUAGAAUUUUAUAGAAAAUAAGCAUCGACUGUGAAACGCAAAUGACUACUCAGUCAACAACAAUGCUUAGCUAAGAUUUUAUUUGGGAACAUCUUAAGUACGAACCGUGAAACCGGGCAUAUGUGUUUCACAUAUGUAGGUUUUUGUUAUGAUUUAUAAAUAUAUUUUCGAGACCUUUUCUUCGGCUUCUGUGUAAAUAUUCUUUUUUUAUAUAACUGGAUUCUGACGAAUUUCAGGCGUUUUUGCGAUUGUUUAUUUAUUUUGAUCUGCAGCCUAAUUAAAGUAUAAAUUAUUGAAGCACGCAUUUUUAAAUAAGUAAAACGUAAAAUAAAAGUUUUCUAAGGCCAAAAUAUGGAAUUGAAGAGGGUUAUACAGUAAUACUUCAAUGCACUAUCAAUUCGAAGCACGCAAUAAAAGCCAACAAUGGUCAACAUCAAGGGCGAAACCAUUAAAUACAUAUUUCAAACUUAUAUGGCGCGUUAAAGGUACGCAAACUUAUUGGUGUCACUUAUUGUAACAGCGUAGAACUUUCGAAGCGAUGGAAUAUGUGCUGCAAGCAAAUCCAAAACUAUGGACGCAAACGCUGCUACAUGGAACACAAAUCAUUCACACACCAGAUAUUACGUUUAAUGUCACUUUUUUGCGUGCAAUUAAAUCUUUUGGUCAACACAAGCACGGGAAGAAUUGGAACGACAUGUUUUAGGUGCUUUUGUAACGUAUCGCGACGUAUGUCAACUGGGUUUUGCCAAUGAGCUAGAGGGCAGAGCAGUUUCAGUAUUUUUGGGCUUACCGGCACUUGGCGUGCCAUUAGCAGCUAAAACACAGAAAUUAAAGGGAGGACUUUUUUGAUGCAUUUUCACCUUGUAUUGAGGAAUCAUAACGUUGUUGUAUCGCUUUACAAGGACAUAAAUUCACCGAAGUUAGUUCAAUGGAAAUACUACAGCAAGAGCACGGAUGUUAAGACUUGAACGGUGCCGUGUUAGAUUUAGAAUUCCUGAAACAUAAGAAACCCUCCUCUCAGAUGAAUCUAGUACUAGUGAAAUUAAUGAAAGAACAGAUCUUAUAAAAUCUCCGAAAGAAACCAAAAGAGUCCUCACAUAAUGUGCGCAGCUUACACUUACACACCGCACGGGGUAUUUGACAUUUUCCACUCUUCCUCCAGCCUUUGUCAGAUAGCAAAAAUUGUUUAAAUAUUCAUUUUCACCUACUUUAUACAUAUGUAUAUAGUGUAGUACGAUAAUAUAUGUAUAAAGUAAAUAUAAUAAUAAACAACUAAAUG